UAAAUAACCUGACAGAGGAGGUACCAUGAUCAAGAGGAUGGUCACUCAGGGCAAGGUGACACGCUGGCUGUGCUGACCUCUGCCAAGUGCCCACAUGAGGAAAUCCUGAACGCAUUAUUUAUGAUAGUGGGUAAAUAUGUGCAUUGCAAAAAGGUUGCAGAUGCAUUUACUUA
rnacentral:snRNA from 1 species